ACAAAGAGAGCCCAGAGACCUCUGCUUUUACACUUUAAGAUGCUGUUUGCCUACCUGCAAGAUCUGGCAGAGGUUCAAGAAAAGGUUUUUUUGGAGUUUGCAGCCAGGAGGUGUUAAGGUGACCACCCUCUGGGUGUAGCAGAUGUAAGCUUGUUCAAAAUUAAACAAAAACUGCAUUGGUAGACAAAAUAAAACAGUGGUUUUUGCCACC